CUCAUCACCUGUGAGUGGAGUACUUGUAGUCUGGGCUGAAAGAAAACGCGGAAAGUCAUGUUUAAUUGACAGGUUGUGCAGAUGGAUCAAAAACUAAACCUCAUCACAGACAUGCUACAUCGCCUAAUUGCAAAUCACCAAGGGCAGGUAAACAGACCACCAGUCAGAGGAAAUGUGCCCCAUUCAGAUGUCUUUCCUAACAGCAGCAACAGCCUUCCUACAUAUGAACAGCUGACCUUACCAUUGAGAAGUCAAGAUAAUAUAUCUUGAGUUUUAGAAAUAUUGUAAAUCCUUUGGAAUGUAAUCUCAAAAGGAUAUCAGUACUGAUGUUAACCAGUACUGAUUACGUUCAUUUGCUAUAUGAAUUCUAAAGUAAAUAUGAGAUUACUCUGAAAACAUGUCGGUGCAGAACUGUGCUUCCUCAAUAAGGUCUUGCUUUUCAAAGCAAAGUUAUACUAUGCAGAACAUUGCUUAUAACACAUCAUGGUAAACAGAAAAAAAUACAACGGUACUGUCUUAGCUUAGAUUUUGGUAAUGGAUAAGACAAAGUCUAAAAUUCAAAGACCAAAUCCAUACAUUGUAGACAGUUAAUUCUUUUCUCAGACUCUGGGAUUAAAUGUUUGCUUGUAUGUACAAAAAGGACUUAGUAAAGAAUUAUUAGCUCUGUUUGAGAAUACUUGAAGAUGGUUUAUUCCAAGGGCAUUUAUUAUACAAACUGGAUUACACGAUUGCCUUUUUUUAAAUUAGCAACUGUAUUUUUUUUUCCUUCUUCAAGAUAUGUAGGCACAUUAGUCAAUGCCCAGUUAAGAGUUUUCUAUUUUAUGCUUAAAAUUUUAAAAGCACUGACACUUCAUCUCUGUCUUUUCAGGGAACAAUGAGAAAUGGAUCUCAACAAGUGCUGUUUAAGUAGUAAAACACUGCAGUUUCCUUUAAAAAUAUCAAUUUUUGUACAGUUAUAGUUUGUAAAAUUAAUUUCUACAUUUUUAUGCAAAUAAAAGUCUGUUGAAGUUACAUUAGAUACAUUUCUUAGUUGUAACUGACACUGUAGUCACAAUAUUUUAAUGAAGAAUUUUCUUAACCUGAUCUUUAGAAUUGUGCAUAAAGAACCAAAAACUGCUGCUGUCAAAGGUCAGUACUAAAAGUUUGGAAUGACAGCAAAGGGACUUUUAAAAGGGUCCUGCUUUAUUUUCUAAAGUUAAGAAUAUGUUUUACAUGUUUUGCCUGGAAUGGAUCUUAGAUAGUAAAUUAUUUAUCAUGUUAGAAACUAUUUGCACCAUUUAAAAUGUAAAAAUGAGGUGAAGAUUUCUGAGUUUUAGAUCUCAAAUAAUUGUACAACAUGAAUAGUGCCUUACAAUAAAACUGGAGUCUUAUGUUACAAGA